CACACACUGAAAGCAGUGCAGCAUGGACUGGCGAAGCAAACGCUCAUGACAGCUCGUUAAAAAGUGGAGAAAUCGUUUAAUGUUCGGAUUAUGGCAGAUUAUAACGCUCCACAAAAAGACUGGUACUUAAUACUUGGAGCCUGUCCAACAGAUGACUUACAAGUGCUGAAACAGAAGUAUCAGAAACUUGUCCUCAUGACUUGUGGGCAAAACCGGAGCACCUGAAGGAAACCCACGUGAACACGGGGAGAACAU